GAUGAACGCUAGCUACAGGCUUAACACAUGCAAGUCGAGGGGCAGCAUUUUAGUUUGCUUGCAAACUGGAGAUGGCGACCGGCGCACGGGUGAGUAACACGUAUCCAACCUGCCGAUAACUCGGGGAUAGCCUUUCGAAAGAAAGAUUAAUACCCGAUGGUAUAAUCAGACCGCAUGGUCUUGUUAUUAAAGAAUUUCGGUUAUCGAUGGGGAUGCGUUCCAUUAGGCAGUUGGUGAGGUAACGGCUCACCAAACCUUCGAUGGAUAGGGGUUCUGAGAGGAAGGUCCCCCACAUUGGAACUGAGACACGGUCCAAACUCCUACGGGAGGCAGCAGUGAGGAAUAUUGGUCAAUGGGCGCAGGCCUGAACCAGCCAAGUAGCGUGAAGGAUGACUGCCCUAUGGGUUGUAAACUUCUUUUAUAUGGGAAUAAAGUUUUCCACGUGUGGAAUUUUGUAUGUACCAUAUGAAUAAGGAUCGGCUAACUCCGUGCCAGCAGCCGCGGUAAUACGGAGGAUCCGAGCGUUAUCCGGAUUUAUUGGGUUUAAAGGGAGCGUAGGUGGACAGUUAAGUCAGUUGUGAAAGUUUGCGGCUCAACCGUAAAAUUGCAGUUGAUACUGGCUGUCUUGAGUACAGUAGAGGUGGGCGGAAUUCGUGGUGUAGCGGUGAAAUGCUUAGAUAUCACGAAGAACUCCGAUUGCGAAGGCAGCUCACUGGACUGCAACUGACACUGAUGCUCGAAAGUGUGGGUAUCAAACAGGAUUAGAUACCCUGGUAGUCCACACAGUAAACGAUGAAUACUCGCUGUUUGCGAUAUACAGUAAGCGGCCAAGCGAAAGCAUUAAGUAUUCCACCUGGGGAGUACGCCGGCAACGGUGAAACUCAAAGGAAUUGACGGGGGCCCGCACAAGCGGAGGAACAUGUGGUUUAAUUCGAUGAUACGCGAGGAACCUUACCCGGGCUUAAAUUGCAUUUGAAUAUAUUGGAAACAGUAUAGCCGUAAGGCAAAUGUGAAGGUGCUGCAUGGUUGUCGUCAGCUCGUGCCGUGAGGUGUCGGCUUAAGUGCCAUAACGAGCGCAACCCUUAUCUUUAGUUACUAACAGGUCAUGCUGAGGACUCUAGAGAGACUGCCGUCGUAAGAUGUGAGGAAGGUGGGGAUGACGUCAAAUCAGCACGGCCCUUACGUCCGGGGCUACACACGUGUUACAAUGGGGGGUACAGAAGGCAGCUACCUGGUGACAGGAUGCUAAUCCCAAAAGCCUCUCUCAGUUCGGAUCGAAGUCUGCAACCCGACUUCGUGAAGCUGGAUUCGCUAGUAAUCGCGCAUCAGCCAUGGCGCGGUGAAUACGUUCCCGGGCCU
rnacentral:rRNA from 1 species